GACGAACGCUGGCGGCGUGCUUAACACAUGCAAGUCGAACGAAGUGGCGAACGGGUGAGUAAUACGUGGGUAACCUGCCCUCCUUUUUGGGAUACGCCUUGGAUACGGGGCCUAAUACCGAACAAAGGGGGAUGGGCUCGCGGCCUAACAGCUUGUUGGUGGGGUGAUGGCCUACCAAGGCGGUGAAUGGUAGCCGGCCUGAGAGGGUGACCGGCCACAUUGGGACGGAGAAACGGCCCAGACUCCUACGGGAGGCGGCAGUGGGGAAUCUUCCACAAUGGACGAAAAUCUGACGGAGCGACGCCGCGUGAGUGAUGACGGCCUUCGGGUUGUAAAGCUCUGUUAAUCGGGACGCGAUACCGGAAUAGAAGGCCACGGCGAACUACGUGCCAGCGGCGGCGAAAAUC
rnacentral:rRNA from 1 species